rnacentral:misc_RNA from 1 species
UCCGAGUUGACCCCGGCAGUCUCCCAUGAGUCCCCGGCAUUACCCGCUUGCAGCACCAUGUCAAGUCCAGGUAAGGUUCUUCGCGUUGCAUCGAAUUAAAGAACAUGCUCCGCUGCUUGUGCGGGCCCCCGUCAAUUCUUUUGAGUUUUAGCCUUGCGGCCGUACUCCCCAGGCGGGACACUUAACGCGUUAACUGCGGCACAGAGGGAUUCGACUCCCCCCACACCUAGUGUCCAUCGUUUACGGCUAGGACUAC